rnacentral:misc_RNA from 1 species
GAUGAAGAACGUAGCGAAAUGCGAUACUUGGUGUGAAUUGCAGAAUCCCGUGAACCAUCGAGUCUUUGAACGCACAUUGCGCCCACUGGUAUUCCGGUGGGCAUGCCUGUUCGAGCGUCAUUAUCCUCCCUCAAACCCCGGGUUUGGUGUUGGACCGAAGUUGUGUGAACAACUGUUCUAAAAGACAAUGACGGCGUCCGUGGGACCCUCGGUGCAACGAGCUUUUAGGAGCACGCGCCGAGUUGCAAGGACCUUCCGGGCCGGUCUCCUUUUACUAUUUUACAAGGUUGACCUCGGAUCAGGUAGGAAUACCCGCUGAACUUAAGCAUAUCAAUAAGCGGAGGA